rnacentral:rRNA from 1 species
UACGUAGGGUGCGAGCGUUAAUCGGAAUUACUGGGCGUAAAGCGUGCGCAGGCGGUUUUGCAAGCCGGAUGUGAAAUUCCCGGGCUCAACCUGGGAAUGGCAUUCGGGACUGCAAGGCUGGAGUGCGGCAGAGGAGACUGGAAUUCCUGGUGUAGCAGUGAAAUGCGUAGAUAUCAGGAGGAACACCGGUGGCGAAGGCGGGUCUCUGGGCCGAUACUGACGCUGAGGAGCGAAAGCGUGGGGAGCGAACAGG